AGCGAACGCUGGCGGCAGGCUUAACACAUGCAAGUCGAGCGGACCUUUCGGGGUCAGCGGCGGACGGGUGAGUAACGCGUGGGAACGUGCCUUCCGGUUAGGAAUAACCCUGGGAAACUAGGGCUAAUACCGGAUACGCCCUAAUGGGGGAAGGUUUACUGCCUGUAGAUCGGCCCGCGGCUGGUUAGCUGCUUGGUGGGGUAACGGCCUACCAAGGCGAAGAUCAGUAGCUGGGGUGAGAGGAUGAUCAGGCACACUGGGACUGGGACACGGCGCAGACUCCUGCGGGAGGCAGCAGUGGGGAAUAUUGGACAAUGGGCGCAAGACUGAUCCAGCCAGGCCGCGUGAGUCAUGAAGGCGUUAGGGUUGUAAAGCUGUGUGAUCCGGGAAGAUAAUGACGGUACCGGAGGAAUAAGCCCCGGCUAACUUCGUG
rnacentral:rRNA from 1 species